rnacentral:rRNA from 1 species
CGCUUAGAUGUUCUGGGCCGCACGCGCGCUACACUGAUGCAUUCAACGAGUUUCUUCCUGGUCCGAGAGGAAUGGGUAACCUUUUGAAAGUGCAUCGUGAUAGGGAUAGACUAUUGCAAUUAUUGGUCUUCAACGAGGAAUUCCUAGUAGACGUAGUUCAUCAGACUGCAUCGAUUGCGUCCCUGCCCUUUGUACACACCGCCCGUCGCUCCUACCGAUUGAAUGCUCAGGUGAGCCAUUCGGACUUUCAUCAUGCUGGUUUCCAGUUUUGAUGAAGGAAAGUCUUGCGAACCUUAUCAUUUAGAGGAAGGAGAAGUCGUAACA